rnacentral:rRNA from 1 species
UACAGAGGUCUCAAGCGUUGUUCGGAUUCAUUGGGCGUAAAGGGUGCGUAGGUGGCGGGGCAAGUCUGGUGUGAAAUCCCGGGGCUCAACCCUGGAACUGCACUGGAUACUGCUUUGCUAGAGUACUGGAGAGGGAACUGGAAUUUACGGUGUAGCAGUGAAGUGCGUAGAUAUCGUAAGGAAGACCAGUGGCGAAGGCGAGUUCCUGGACAGUUACUGACACUGAGGCACGAAGGCCAGGGGAGCAAACGGG